rnacentral:rRNA from 1 species
AAAGAUUUAUCGGUGAUGGAUGGGGAUGCGUCUGAUUAGCUUGUUGGCGGGGUAACGGCCCACCAAGGGCUACGAUCAGUAGGGGUUCUGAGAGGAAGGUCCCCCACAUUGGAACUGAGACACGGUCCAAACUCCUACGGGAGGCAGCAGUGAGGAAUAUUGGUCAAUGGGCGAGAGCCUGAACCAGCCAAGUAGCGUGCAGGAUGACGGCCCUAUGGGUUGUAAACUGCUUUUAUAAGGGAAUAAAGUGAGUCUCGUGAGACUUUUUGCAUGUACCUUAUGAAUAAGGACCGGCUAAUUCCGUGCCAGCAGCCGCGGUAAUACGGAAGGUCCGGGCGUUAUCCGGAUUUAUUGGGUUUAAAGGGAGCGUAGGCCGGAGAUUAAGCGUGUUGUGAAAUGUAGACGCUCAACGUCUGCACUGCAGCGCGAACUGGUUUCCUUGAGUACGCACAAAGUGGGCGGAAUUCGUGGUGUAGCGGUGAAAUGCUUAGAUAUCACGAAGAACCCCGAUUGCGAAGGCAGCUCACUGGAGCGCAACUGACGCUGAAGCUCGAAAGUGCGGGUAUCGAACAGGAUUAGAUACCCUGGUAGUCCGCACGGUAAACGAUGGAUGCCCGCUGUUGGUCUGAAUAGGUCAGCGGCCAAGCGAAAGCAUUAAGCAUCCCACCUGGGGAGUAC